rnacentral:rRNA from 1 species
UACCUGCAGCUCAAGUGGUGGCCGUUAUUAUUGGGCCUAAAACGUCCGUAGCCGGUUUAUUAAAUGCCUGGGUAAAUCGGGCCGCUCAACGGUUCGAAUUCCGGGUAGACUGAUAGACUUGGGACCGGGAGAAGCUAGAGGUACUCCUGGGGUAGAGGUGAAAUUCUGUAAUCCUAGGGGGACCACCAGUGGCGAAGGCGUCUAGCUAGAACGGGUCUGACGGUGAGGGACGAAGCCCUGGGGCGCAAACCGGGAUUAGAUACCCGGGUAGUCCAGGGUGUAAACGCUGCUUGCUUGAUGUUAGUCGGGCUCCGAGCCCGAUUAGUGUCGGAGAGAAGUUGUUAAGCAAGCUGCCUGGGAAGUACGGCCGCAAGACUGAAACUUAAGGAAUUGGCGGGGAGCACAGCAACGGGUGGAGCGUGCGGUUU